rnacentral:rRNA from 1 species
GCGGCGCACAUAAGACAUGCAAGUCGAACGGACUUAACCAUUAUUUUACUAUUGGAGCGGUUAGUGGCGGACUGGUGAGUAACACGUAAGCAACCUGCCUAUCAGAGGGGAACAACAGUUAGAAAUGACUGCUAAUACCGCAUAUGCCUUAAUUACCACAUGGUAAUAGAGGGAAAGGAGCAAUCCGCUGAUAGAUGGGCUUGCGUCUGAUUAGAUAGUUGGUAAGGUAACGGCUUACCAAGUCGACGAUCAGUAGGCGGACUGAGAGGUUGAACGGCCACAUUGGGACUGAGAUACGGCCCAGACUCCUACGGGAGGCAGCAGUCGGGAAUAUUGCGCAAUGGAGGAAACUCUGACGCAGUGACGCCGCGUGCAGGAAGAAGGUUUUCGGAUUGUAAACUGCUUUAGACAGGGAAGAAACAAGACAGUACCUGUAGAAUAAGCUCCGGCUAACUACGUGCCAGCAGCCGCGGUAAUACGUAGGGAGCAAGCGUUAUCCGGAUUUAUUGGGUGUAAAGGGUGCGUAGACGGGAAUGCAAGUUGGUUGUGAAAUCCCUCGGCUCAACCGAGGAAUUGCAACCAAAACUAUAUUUCUUGAGUGCUGGAGAGGAAAGUGGAAUUCCUAGUGUAGCGGUGAAAUGCGUAGAUAUUAGGAGGAACACCAGUGGCGAAGGCGAUUUUCUGGACAGUAACUGACGUUGAGGCACGAAAAGUGUGGGGAGCAAACAGGAUUAGAUACCCUGGUAGUCCACACCGUAAACGAUGGAUACUAGGUGUAGGGGAUGAAUAAUCUUCUGUGCUGUCGCAAACGCAGUAAGUAUCCCACCUGGGGAGUGCGGCCGCAAGGUUGAAACUCAAAGGAAUUGACGGGGGCCCGCACAAGCAGUGGAGUAUGUGGUUUAAUUCGACGCAACGCGAAGAACCUUACCAGGGCUUGACAUAUACAUGAAAAUCUAAGAGAUUAGAUCCCUCUUCGGAGCAUGUAUACAGGUGGUGCAUGGUUGUCGUCAGCUCGUGUCGUGAGAUGUUGGGUUAAGUCCCGCAACGAGCGCAACCCCUGUUCUUAGUUGCCAGCAUGUAAAGAUGGGAACUCUAAGAAGACUGCCGGUGAUAAAUCGGAGGAAGGUGGGGACGACGUCAAAUCAUCAUGCCCUUUAUGUCCUGGGCUACACACGUACUACAAUGGCUGUAACAAAGGGAAGCGAACCCGCGAGGGGAAGCAAAACCCAUAAAAGCAGUCUCAGUUCGGAUUGAAGGCUGAAAUUCGCCUUCAUGAAGCCGGAAUUGCUAGUAAUGGCAGGUCAGCAUACUGCCGUGAAUACGUUCCCGGGCCUUGUACACACCGCCCGUCACACCAUGAGAGUUGGGGAUACCCGAAGCCUGUGAGCUAACUGUAAAGAGGCAGCAGUCGAAGGUAGAAUCAAUGAUUGG